rnacentral:rRNA from 1 species
UACGUAGGGGGGCAAGCGUUUGUCCGGGAUUUAUUGGGCGUAAAGAGCGUGUAGGCGGCCAUGCAGGUCCGUUGUGAAAACUCGAGCUCAACCUCGAGACGCCGAUGGAAACCGCAUGGCUAGAGUCCGGAAGAGGAGAGUGGAAUUCCUGGUGUAGCGGUGAAAUGCGCAGAUAUCAGGAAGAACACCCGUGGCUAAGGCGGCUCUCUAGUACGGUACUGACGCUGAGACGCGAAAGCGUGGGGAGCGAACAGG